rnacentral:sRNA from 12 species
GGCCUAACCCGGUAGUUUACUAACGGUAUGGUCGAAAAACAUGAGACAUAAACAACCCAUUAUCAGGGCGUGUCUCAUGUUGCGUAGGGAAACUUACGUAGGGACUUCGGUCCC